AGAACAAAGACGGCCCCUCUCUGCCCUUGAACAGAUCUCGUGCCAAGACCAGCACAGGUGCUUCUCUCUGUUUCGUGGGAGGUGUUGGCAUAUGGGCAUGUGAUGUUGAAAGCAAAAAGUGAAAAUCUAGGCAAGUGACUCCAAACAGGCCAAUAUAUCACCUUUGCUCAUCAGGGCUUAUUCAACAAGCAAUGAGCGCCUGGUUUGUGCAAGGCUUUGCACAUUCCACAGCUGUGCAGAAGAUGCCAAGGUCACCACAGAGCACUGAGUAGAGAUCCCUGAGUAUACGACUGUAGCCCGCCAGUCUCCUCUGUCCAUGGGAUUCUCCAGGCAAGAAUACUGGAAUGUGUAGCCAUUCCCUUCUCCAGUGGAUCUUCCUAACCCAGGAAACGAACCCAGGUCUCCCACACUGUGGGCAGAUUCUUAACCAUCUGAGCUUCUUGCUGCUGCUGCUGCUAAGUCAUUUCAGUCGUGUCCGACUCUGUGCGACCCCAUGGACUGCAGCUUACCAGGCUCCUCCAUCCAUGGGAUAUUCCAGGGGAAGAAACGGAAGCUUAGCAAGGUGAAGGGGCAGAUGCGGGAGGAAAUCCCCCUCCGGAGUCCUGCUCUUAUCCAUGAGGACAUAUGUGUCCCUUCUGGAUGUUCUUGAAGCAAUGCCACAG
ensembl:lncRNA